UCGCCGCGCACGCGCUCCCCACCUCCUCUCAACCCAACGACUCCCUUUCCUUUCUCUACUCUUUUUUAGUCACUGCAAAGGACUAGGCUUACAAGUAAGCACACUUCCUCUCCCGCUCCUGCGCAUGCGUCCCACUCAGACACAUGUGUAGACUGGAUAUAGAUAACGUGUGCUUGCUCGCGCGCGCAGACCCCACCCCCUUUCUCUUUCUCCACAGCCUGCGCGCGCCUUGCCCGGGCAGCGUUCCAAACAAGGUGCGUGCGCAUGCGCCCCAGGGCCUUUACUGCACCUCUUCUCCCCAGCCGCCGCCCCUCUUCUUCCUGCGUCUUCCUCCACCAAUAGCAUCCUACAUGAGAUGGGACCUAGCUUUAUAGUAGGCUAUCAAGCUGCCAGGCCCGUAGCCAGGAAAAAAGAAACAUCGGAAGUGGUAGAAACUCCCCCCCCCCCCCCGAGAUGACUUUUCAGGUCUGGCACAAGGUCCCAACAAGGCCCUGAAAUUAGCAUCAUUAUCAAAGGUUCUUCACAGCUUUGACCUUCCGUCGUCUUCUUCACGGACGCCAUCUGCUGCUCUGGAUUUACGGACUGAACUGACUACGGGCUCGGGAUCUCCUAUUGGACUUGGUGAACUUCAAACGUCUGAUUCUACCUAAUUGACCUUCGGAAAAAACUGGGACUACUCUACUGCUUCAACCCUCGGCUGCUUCGUUUGUAUUGGGAAUUUGCCUUGCUGUGUGAAGGAGUGACUCUGUGUUACUCAAAACAUAGUGCUGGCAGCAGAGAGGCAUCUGCUGCCAAUUAGUUACAUUCCUUUGAACUCUUUGUUUCCCAGCUUCUGUUUUGUUUACUCCCAGGCUGAAGCAAGCUGUUUUGAUUUUACCCGGAUUAAACUCCGGUUUAAUCCGGUUUAUCUUUUGAACGUUUUUCCUUGCCCCUUUUUGCUUUUAAAGGCUAAAGUUGCCUAGCCCUUGUCUUUUACGGGCAUUUUGAGUUCUGUAAAUCCAAUAAACUCUGUUAUCUUUGA